rnacentral:misc_RNA from 1 species
GGAACAUUUUUGAUGAUAGGAACAUCCUUAAAAGACACUUAAAUGAUCUAGGUUGAAGUUUGUCUUUUCCAGGAGAUCGGUAAUGAAUAAAACAUUGGCAGCCAAACAUGCGAAGAGAAAUGUGGUCGGAAUUUUGGUAUGGAACUAGAAGAGAAUGAGGACAUUGAUGUUGUAAAACAGUGGAAGACAUUAUAGUACUUUUUUUUUAUAAUA